rnacentral:rRNA from 1 species
AGAAUCAACGCUGGCGGCGUGCCUAACACAUGCAAGUCGCACGAGAAAGGGGCUUCGGCCCGUGAGUAAAGUGGCGCACGGGUGAGUAACACGUGAAUUAUCUACCUCCGGAGUGGGGAAUAACUGAGAGAAAUCUUAGCUAAUACCGCAUAACACUUACGAGUCAAAGCAGCAAUGCGCUUGGGAGAGGAGUUCGCGGCCGAUUAGUUAGUUGGCGGGGUAAUGGCCCACCAAGACGAUGAUCGGUA